GCCGCCACGAGGAGAAAACCCUAUCUCCUCGUCACCAUUGCCUAAAACGAAAAAAUGGCAGGUGGGUACAUGCUUUUACAGUCUUGGUUCGAUCGUUUGAGGCAACAAUUAAUGCCUCGUCUCCAAAUCUCACCAAACGCUACCUUAUCAUGGAAAAAACCAUAUGACUUAGAGCAGGAAGGGUCUAAGAUGGGAAGAAAUUCAUAAACAAGAUGUAUAUUUCAAGAAACAGAGUUCAACAUAAGAUAACUUGGCCAAGAUGAAUCUAUUUGAGGAAGGAGAGAAACAGAAGAUGCUUUGCAGGAAAUCAAAAGGAGGAGACAUUCCUUUUUACCUCACUCAAAGAAACAAUAGCAAUUUAUAAUGUGCUAUAAACGGCACU